GUAUAGGCUGGGUGUUCGUGUCCUGCUGCCCACCUCCUGAUUCAUGAGUUGAAGCUCUGACUCCCCGUGAUGGUGUCUGGAGAUGAGCCCUUGGGAGGUUUCCAUGAAACUAGAAUCUGAGACCUGCCACGGAGCAAGAAUGUUGUUUGGCUGGCUGAUCAGUGGUCUAAGAAUGAGCCGAAGAGCUGAGACAGGCAUUCCGGAAAUGGAGAAAUAACUAAUGCAAAUAAACCCACGGAGCCACUGAAGCAUGAUAGUCCGGCUGGGCAUGGCGUCCUGCACCGAUGCGAUUUUCUCUGAGAAACUGAAGACCCCUGGUCUCCUAGCUUCCAGUGUCAUUGAGAAAUUGUUCUGCUACUGGGUCUGCUGGCUGUGAAGCCAGCCUCCGCAUCCUGUGUCCUCCGUGCACCCCCUGGAAGACUCUAGGCCCCCUCUGUGCACCUGGUCCUCUGAGGUUUCAUGGUCACGUACUUAGGCCCCUAGCUCUGUGCUGGGCUCUAGAUGAUGGACCUUCAGUGUGGAAACAGGCCCUUCAGGUCUAGGACAGUAACUGGCACAAUAUCUUAUUUUUGCACAGCUGCCCUCCUUCUGUUCUCUCUUCUGUUUUCCCAAAACUUGUAUUGUUCUUGGACAUGUGACCUCCAGGACAAAUGCUCUAGUUUCUCUCUUUCCUAUUCUUAAUCUCUUUACCUUUUUAUUAUCCGUCCUAAGAGAUGUUUUUAUCAUCAUCUUCCAACCUUUCUAUUGAUUUUAAAUUCACGCUAUUAUACAUAUUUUUUGUUUCCUGCAUCUCCUCCCAGAACACUUCUUUUUUUGGCACCCUGUUCUGAUUUCCAUGGAUACAAUAGCUUCUUUUUAUCUCUCUGAGGAUAGUAACGAUAGUAUUUGGGAGCUUUUGCCUGCUCCCUGCCUCUGUUCACUUUCCUUUAUGUUGUGUUUUGCUUGGUGUGCGUGUUUCGCGUUGGAGACUUUCUUAAAUCUGUUGACCUUUGGCCUGGUGUUAGAGUGAAGCGUCACCCUGGAGACUGGGAGCUCCGCCACGCGGGCCAGGCUUUCCCCAUGGUAGGUUUCCCUGGGGAAUCGCAGGGCCAGGAGCCACGCUGAUCACUUGGGACCCCCACCCCUCUGCUGUGACGUAUCUUUCCUCCUGGCCAGUGUCUGCAGUGAGGGGACUGCCUGCCCCCCGCCCUGGGUGGUGGGGUGGGGAGAAGUACACCUAGACGCCUGCUUCUGGGAGCAGGUGGGAAGGAGGGCCAGGGAGAGGGGGCCUCACCAGGAACUCGUCACCUGCAGUCAGGCCCUGUUUACAGUCUGGUGCGCCCACUUUCAGGUCUCCCCGGGUCUCCCUCUGCAGUACCUGAACCUCCUUUCUACCUGGCUACGGCGGGGGUGGGCUCCCUGCUGCCUGCCGUCCGCCCUUCUCAUCCACUCCGGGCCAACCCUGUAGUUCGCUGCCCUGAGGGCCCUCGGUGCCUCCUCCUGAGCCCCUGGAUGCCGGGCGCCGAGGCCCGUGUUUCUGACCCCUCCUCCCGGCGCCCUCCGUGCUGCCCUUCGGCCUUGCUCUUUUCCAUCUGCUCAAUUUCUCUGGGCUCCCCUGCUCUUUGCUGUGGCUUCGGGCCUCCCUCGUCCCUUUAUUGCCACCUGUGUGGUUACAUCAGGGAAGAAGGAGAGGCACAUAUGUCUGUAAGUCCACGCUUGGCUGGACCCCGUCUGUCGUCUCAUUUCCACCCUUUCUGAAUCAUUUUAAGUGUUUGAAUGCUCUCCUUAAAUAACAAGCCAGAUCUUAACUCUCUUUGGCUUAAAAUCAAGGCUCAGGAGGUCUUCCCUCAGAGGCCUAGCCUGGCCUGGAGCCCCGCGUGACCUGCCUCCUGCCUCGCCUCCCCCGGGACACGCCCCCUUCCCUGACUUGUUCCCGCCCUGCUGGGCCUCGAACAUGCUGUUCCUCUGCAUGAAUGCUGUUCCCUUGUCUGCCCUUCACCUGAUUUCUUUCAUCCUUCCAUGCUCAUCUCUAACCUUUCUCCAGGCCAGGCCAGGUUCACCAGUACCUUCUCCAGUAGGCCCCUGACUGUAAUUUUAAACAUCCACGGGGUCUCUGGGUGUCGUGUCCUUCACUUAGGUGUUUGCUCUUGGCUUUAAUGACGAGUUUAGCUCAGAGGCAGAGCUGGGUCUGUGAGGCCAGGAAGUGCAUGUGUCUUUUUUAGUAUUGUGUCCCCACAGCUUAGCACAGGAAGGGUACUCAGAGAGCAGCUACUAGAGGAGUGAAGGAAUGAAUGGAUGGAUGGGUGUGCAUGUGGACCUGAGAGGGUGCCUGGCCCGGGGUCUGCUUGCCAUGGCUGAAGACACCGAGGCUCACUGACACGCCGGGAAGGCACACAUUUUCCCUAUGUAACGCUGAGGACAGUCUUCUGAGGAGGCCUCUGUCAGGCCCGGUGCACUGCCUGGGGGAAGAAAUUGGGGCUCAAAGAGUCCAGGCUUGCCUGACAUCACACAGCCAAGUCAAGAGUGGGGGCAGAGCUCAGGCUUUCUAUUUCCAAAGCCACUUUGUGCUGCCUUGGGUGGUCACAUUCACGUCGCAUGAGAUGGGAGAGGCCAGGAGAGCGGAGUCAGUGUGCGGGCUGGCUUUGGCUGUGGUAACAGCCCUGAACCUCAUGGCCUGCAGGUCACAUGUCACCGAUGGCUCUGCAGGUGGCCUGGGGCUCUGGGGGCCCCCUGCACUUGGCUCUGGGCUGAGGGCCAAGUUCACAUCUGUUCUGUAGGUUUUUCAUUCCAGGGUGAGGCUGAAGGCACCUCCACGCUCCAGGGCAUUCUGUGGUCCUGCGGCAGAGCAGAGCCCAAGAGGGCUGCUAUCAAUGCGCAGCCUUCCGGAAGCGUUGGACCCUUACGACGCAUCCAUUCACACUCCAUGGGCCAGAGUGUACCACGUGGCCAAGCUCA